UCGGGUCGAAACCCGAAAGGAAUCGGGUCGGGUCAUCUGCUCGACGGCUUCCUUCCGCCGGGCCAAGAGAGGGGCUCAACCAGGGCUCAGAUAAUCCGACGGUCUUGCGCAGGGCGGACUCGGCGGCGUCGCGCUUCGACCUCGCUUUCGUCUCUUCCAAUACGCGCAGUUGGUCCACAUGAAGGCAUAGCUUCGGCCCGAGCACGAUCGACUCGCCUCCGUGGCGAAUCCGAAGCCUCUCUUCCCGCCCGGGCCUACAAGGUAAUUGACAGCUGCCUAGGUGGGACUAUGGGAAUUUGCAAAUGUCACAAACUUCGUUGGCUUCCAUGAAAGCAGAGGCAACUUACAGAUGACAGAUAAGACAAGCUUACAGAUCAUUAGGCUUUGUUUUCUCACAACACUUGCAUGACUGACAGAGAUGCCAUCUUAUUUGGUUGCCUCUAGAAAGUAUUUAUUAUGUAUGGCCUCCUUCCCUAGAGCUAUAAAAAGCAAAUAUAAGUAGCUCUUGGUAAAGUUAUAUUUCUGAACAACUAAGAUUAUGCUGAUGGAGAACAGCUAAAAGAAGGGUUUGCUCAGAAUCAAGCCUCGUGACAUAUCUAUUUCAGAAUCAUGCUUUUAGAGUACCUCUUCUAAUGUGAUAUAAUUGUGGGAGAAGUGGUCAUUGCACCCAAUUGUAGUACAGCUUCAUUUAAUAUCAUUUUUAUCAUCCACAUGGUAUCUUUUUAAUUAAGGCCCUUAGAGAACAUUAUUUCUUGAAGUUUUUCCUCAUCCACCUGAGCUGCAUAUAUUUUAGGGGCAAUUAUAUUUGUAAGCUUUUAAAAGUGAAAUUUUCAUGUCUACUUCUGUAACUAUGCAAAUAUUCGUAUGUAUCCAUAUAAAUGGGGUAUGUAUUUGUUGUUAGAUUCCUGCAUAUAUUAAACCCAUUAUAUCUGCUUAAUUAUGAUAUGUUUAGAUUUAUUUAAUUUAAAUCUUGAAAUACCUAAAAUAACCUUGUUCCUGUGCUCUUUUACAUUUGUUUCUGGUCUUGCCCUAUCUUUUCCUUUCGUUUAUUGUCAUUAACCCAUUUUUAUCCAUCUCUGUCGUAGCUUUGCAGAAAGAAAUUUCCCAAGGAAGGAGACCAAAUAGAUACGAGAGAAGAGGAAGCAAAGGUAAGGUGGAAUGGAGAAAGAGGUAACAGGCGAUGACAUACAAGAGAAAUAAAGAUGAAACUUUACGUAUCUUCCAUAAAGUUUCAUAGAGAACAAAUACAAAUUAUUUUUUUCCCAUUUAAACAUGCCAAAUUACAAUUAGGAAACACAGGUGUGGUGGGAAGAUUCAAUGCCGGUUAGAAACAUUGUUUAUGUUAUUAAUGGUGAUCUAAUACUUCAAAGUGUACUAGGAUUUUUGCUGCCUGCAAUGUUAGAUCGACCUUUUACUUUAUGUAAUUUGGACUUAGCUUCA